rnacentral:rRNA from 1 species
AACUUAAAGGAAUUGACGGGGGCCCGCACAAGCGGAGGAGCAUGUGGUUUAAUUCGAUGAUACGCGAGGAACCUUACCUGGGCUCGAACGUAAGAUGACUGUAGGUGAAAGCUUACAUCUCUUCGGAGCAUUUUACGAGGUGCUGCAUGGUUGUCGUCAGCUCGUGCCGUGAGGUGUCGGGUUAAGUCCCAUAACGAGCGCAACCCUUGUCCUUAGUUACCAGCACGUUAUGGUGGGCACUCUAAGGAGACUGCCGGUGACAAACCGGAGGAAGGUGGGGAUGACGUCAAGUCAUCAUGGCCCUUACGGCCUGGGCUACACACGUGCUACAAUGGUCGGUACAAAGGGUUGCCAAGCCGCGAGGUGGAGCUAAUCCCAUAAAACCGAUCGUAGUCCGGAUCGCAGUCUGCAACUCGACUGCGUGAAGUCGGAAUCGCUAGUAAUCGUGAAUCAGAAUGUCACGGUGAAUACGUUCCCGGGCCUU